GGGCGAAUGGUCUAGGGGUAUGAUACUCCCUUCGCAUCUGUGCUAGUAUUGCUUCUACCGUGCUUGGGAGGGGUCCGGGGUUCAAUUCCCCGUUCGUCCA